UUGGAGGGCAAGUCUGGUGCCAGCAGCCGCGGUAAUUCCAGCUCCAAUAGCGUAUAUUAAAGUUGUUGCAGUUAAAAAGCUCGUAGUUGAAUUUCGGGGUUAGUAGGCUGGUCAUGCCACCGGUAUGUACUGGUCUUACUGAUUCCUCCUUCCUGAUGAACUGUAAUGCCAUUAAUUUGGUGUUGCAGGGAAUCUGGACUGUUACUUUGAAAAAAUUAGAGUGUUUAAAGCAGGCUAACGCUUGAAUACAUUAGCAUGGAAUAAUGAAAUAGGACGUUCGAUCCUAUUUUGUUGGUUUCUAGGAUUGACGUAAUGAUUAAUAGGGAUAGUUGGGGGCAUUAGUAUUCAAUUGUCAGAGGUGAAAUUCUUGGAUUUAUUGAAGACUAACUACUGCGAAAGCAUUUGCCAAGGAUGUUUUCAUUAAUCAAGAACGAAAGUUAGGGGAUCGAAGACGAUCAGAUACCGUCGUAGUCUUAACCAUAAACUAUGCCGACUAGGGAUCGGAUGAUGUUAAUUUUUUAAUGACUCAUUCGGCGCCUUACGGGAAAC
rnacentral:rRNA from 2 species